UCGGGUUGUAAAGCACUUUUGUCCGGAAAGAAAACACGUGCCCUAAUACGGUGUGUGGAUGACGGUACCGGAAGAAUAAGCACCGGCUAACUACGUGCCAGCAGCCGCGGUAAUACGUAGGGUGCGAGCGUUAAUCGGAAUUACUGGGCGUAAAGCGUGCGCAGGCGGUUUGCUAAGACCGAUGUGAAAUCCCCGGGCUUAACCUGGAAACUGCAUUGGGUGACUGGCAGGCUAGAGUAUGGCAGAGGGGGGGUAGAAUUUCCACGUGUAGCAGUGAAAUGCGUAGAGAUGUGGAGGAAUACCGAUGGCGAAGGCAGCCCCCUGGGCCAAUACUGACGCUCAUGCACGAAAGCGUGGGGAGCAAACAGGAUUAGAUACCCUGGUAGUCCACGCCCUAAACGAUGUCAACUAGUUGUUGGGGAUUCAUUUCCUUAGUAACGUAGCUAACGCGUGAAGUUGACCGCCUGGGGAGUACGGUCGCAAGAUUAAAACUCAAAGGAAUUGACGGGGACCCGCACAAGCGGUGGAUGAUGUGGAUUAAUUCGAUGCAACGCGAAAAACCUUACCUACCCUUGACAUGGACGGAAGGCCGCUG
rnacentral:rRNA from 1 species